AUUGAACGCUGGCGGAAUGCUUUACACAUGCAAGUCGAGCGGCAGCGCGGGGGCAACCCUGGCGGCGAGCGGCGAACGGGUGAGUAAUACAUCGGAACGUGUCCUUAAGUGGGGGAUAGCUCGGCGAAAGCCGGAUUAAUACCGCAUAAGCUCUGAGGAGGAAAGCGGGGGCUCCGUAAGGACCUCGCGCUGUUGGAGCGGCCGAUGUCGGAUUAGCUAGUUGGUGGGGAAAGGCCCACCAAGGCGACGAUCCGUAGCUGGUCUGAGAGGAUGAUCAGCCACACUGGAACUGAGACACGGUCCAGACUCCUACGGGAGGCAGCAGUGGGAAUUUGGACAAUGGGGGCAACCCUGAUCCAGCCAUUCCGCGUGAGUGAAGAAGGCCUCGGUGUAAGA
rnacentral:rRNA from 1 species